rnacentral:rRNA from 1 species
UACGUAGGGGGCUAGCGUUGUCCGGAAUCAUUGGGCGUAAAGCGCGCGUAGGCGGCCAGAUAAGUCCGGUGUGAAAGUCAAAGGCUCAACCUUUGAAUGCCGCUGGAAACUGUCUGGCUUGAGUCCGGAAGGGGCGAGUGGAAUUCCUGGUGUAGCGGUGAAAUGCGCAGAUAUCAGGAGGAACACCAAUGGCGAAGGCGGCCCCCUGGUUGGAUACUGACGCUGAGACGCGAAAGCGUGGGGAGCAAACAGG